rnacentral:sRNA from 1 species
AGAAGAGGAAGAAGAAC